UCUCCCCCUCCCUUAGAAACGAAAUUGGAAUUCAAUAUCAAUUCCCAUUAUGAAUCAAAUAUACUAUGGCAAUAGACCAUUCCGAUAACUACCGACUGUUUGGGAAAAAAACAGAUUUUUGAGCAACGGGUACUUUGCUAUUCGCACUUUUGCAGUGCCAACAGAGUAGAGGCUGCUUUGCCAUCUGCUCUGGCUUCUCCUUUUCCCUUGUUCCAAAUGAUUUGUCUGUCAAUCUACACUAAAAAAUUCAAUUGAAGAGAUGGGUCAAGAAACAUUAGCCGCAGCUUCAUCGUCAUCUUCUUCUUCUGCUGCCACUUCGAGUCUCAAUUAACCAGCCGAAUGCUUGGAUUCAUGCUUAUCAACGACUGUUUCCAAAAUGUUAAUCUUUCUCUAAUUCUUUUCAGGUGCCCUUUAUGGUUUCUUAUUUCUAGUUUUAAUUUCUGCUACUUUUCCUUCUACCUGAAAAUUUGAUGGUGAACCUGAGAACCCUUCAACCUUUUCCUUUCUGUACUCCAUUUUUGAUUUAUAAGCGACUUGGAUUUGGUGUUCAAUCUUCUUUUAUUGUUUGCUCUUUCUACUUCCUAUCUGUUUUGUUGAUUUCUGACUUGCCCUUUUCCUUUCUGAAUUCUGGUUCGUUUCAUAGUAUUUUACGCUGAAUGAAUUCGUGGUUUCCGAAUCAAAUUUGGAACUUUUCGAUUUUCUUGUGGUUUUCUGAGCAACCACAUAUCCCAGUUCCGAUAUCUAGAGUUAAUCAAAUUGAUGCAGCGAGAUUGGAUGUUGAAAUGGCUGCUAUGUUGAAAGAACAUUUAGUUAAGGUCAUCUCUUUGAUGAAGGUAUAUUCUGUUUCUGUUAGUUAAUUUUUCUCCGAGGCCCUGUUGAAUAAAGGAAAGCUGGUUGUUGCUUGAUUGUUUCAUAUGGCAUUUACUUCUGGUUCUUUCUUUUUUCUUUGGAUUAGCAAGGAUUAAUAUUUCUAUAUGAACCAGAACUUGAUGCUUUUCUUAAGUUUCUUAUUUGGAGAUUUUCAAUAUGGUUGGAUAGGCUUACUCCAGGGAAUGCUCUCAUGAAUCUCAGGUACAGAGAUGAGCGUACAUCAGCCAUCAGAAAAAAAGAAGGGAUUGAUUUUUUCUUGACAUGCAUUUCAGAGCAUUUGAAUGCCUUGCAUGGGUUUUGAUACAACAUCUGGAGGGUGUCUAUAGAGUUGCCUCCUUAGCAACCUGCUUAUAUUCCUUUUCACUGGAAGGUACAGGAGUACUGUUGAGAGAGUUCUCAGUGCAAGGCUUGUUUAUGGGAGUCCCCACAUGAACCAUGCUGUUAGCUUUGAGUACAUUAAUCGACAAUACUCCUUCAAUCAUUAGUUUGGAAUUGCAUUGAUGGAUAGAAGGUAUAGGUGUUAUUGGUUGCCUUGUCAAAACUCCUAUAUAUUUCUAAUUGAUACCGAGUCGCCUUUCUCCUUCGAGUUGGC